UUGCCAUGAUUCACCUCUCUAUCAGGUGGGUUGUGGAAGUGUCGGCCGGCCCCACGCCGGCCGGCGCGCUU
rfam:Castellaniella defragrans 65Phen complete genome